rnacentral:lncRNA from 1 species
UCGAUUGUCUGCCAGUCAGAUCAAAAUUCAAUCCCAGAUUUUACGCUUGAUAAUCGAUUACUUACAAUCCAUAAUCGAUUACUGGCAACGUUCAAAAAAUCCUUUUCAGAUUUUGCCACAAACAAUCGAUUAUCCAGAAUCAACAAUCGAUUACUUAGCAACGUUCAAAAAAUCUUUUCCGAAUUUUAAUCAAAACAAUCGAUUAUAC